rnacentral:rRNA from 1 species
CCAGACUCCUACGGGAGGCAGCAGUGGGGGAUAUUGCACAAUGGGGGGAACCCUGAUGCAGCGACGCCGCGUGGGUGAAGAAGCGCCUCGGCGCGUAAAGCCCUGUCAGCAGGGAAGAAAAUGACGGUACCUGAAGAAGAAGCCCCGGCUAACUACGUGCCAGCAGCCGCGGUAAUACGUAGGGGGCAAGCGUUAUCCGGAUUUACUGGGUGUAAAGGGGGCGCAGACGGCGAUGCAAGCCAGGAGUGAAAGCCCGGGGCCCAACCCCGGGACUGCUCUUGGAACUGCGUGGCUGGAGUGCUGGAGAGGUAAGCGGAAUUCCUAGUGUAGCGGUGAAAUGCGUAGAUAUUAGGAGGAACACCAGUGGCGAAGGCGGCUUACUGGACAGUAACUGACGUUGAGGCUCGAAAGCGUGGGGAGCAAACAGGAUUAGAUACCCCAGUA